UGUUACUGCCCCAGCAGAUGAGCUUCAUCACGUGGAAGGCACUAUUAUUCUGCACAUCGUGUUUGCCAUCAAACUGGACUGUGAAUUGGGCAGAGAACUGCUGAAACACUUGAAGGUCAGGGCAAACAUUUUUUUUUUCCUUAUGUCUUUUGCCUGCUAUCAGGACUCUUUUUCUCCUACUGGGUUGCAUCAUUCAUCCUUGAUAGAGGAUUUGUGCCUACUCCUACGGGAUCUUGUUGUACCAUGUUCAGUGAUAUCACUGGGAGGCCUGCUCUUUUCUGAAGAGAAACAGAGGAUCAGCGGGUUAUGGAGGAGAGGGAGGGAGAGGAACUGGGAGGAGUGGAAGGAGGGGAAACUCAUCAGGAUGUACUGUAUGAGAGCAGAAUAAAUUAAAAAACAAAAAUUUUGGGGUUGGGGAUUUAGCUCAGUGGUAGAGCGCUUGCCUAGGAAGCGCAAGGCCCUGGGUUCGGUCUCCAGCUCCGAAAAAAAAAAAGAA
rnacentral:lncRNA from 1 species